UACGCCCGUGUAGGUGCCGUUCCAUCUGCGCUCCGACGGCUCUUCGCCGUCUCGUCAGCGGCGGCCCGGCUGCUUUGAACGGACCUCUCCAUGUGCUAAGCUGCGGUUGCGGGGGAACAAACUCGCCUCGAUGUAUGAUGCCCUCUGACCAGCUGAAGCAUCGGGACUGCAAAUGGAGAGAAGAGGUGUUUACCGAAGACUUCCCUUCCUUAUAGCUGCAAGAAUUUCUCUGCAGGAUAAUUUUAAUUCUUUUGUUGAGCAUACACCUAUGCGUGCUUGUGCUCAACUGAAGCUCGAACUGGAGGAAAAGACAGGUUUCAUGUCAUGUGCCAUCAAGAUAGUCCAGACUUCCCUUCCUUACAGUUCCUGAUCCAUUUUUAAUAGCAAUGCUUGUUGAGCA